rnacentral:lncRNA from 1 species
UGUCAAUUCGACUGAUGAUGCAUGAGGCUGGGAACAAGGCAGUUCACUCUUCCAUGGCCACGGCAUAUUGGCCCUGCCGUGCUGAGCUUGGAGAUAAUAAAAACUUUCUUCUUUGCCUCUUUUCUCUUUUUGUUAUCAGUAAACGAAGCAGAUCGGCUGCCAGGGUGACACAGAGAGGGAUGAGAUCAACAUUGACAAGGAGGAACACUAGUCCUUGCAGAGAAUACAGAAAAAAAUAAAGUGAAUAUCUUGCCACUGAAUUCCUCAUCUUCAGUUGUCAACACUUCCCCAACGUCAUGCUAACUGUCAGACCUAACUGGAGACCCAGCUGCAACCCUGCUCCCAACACUCAGAGCUCCUCUGCCCUGGACUUCAAGACUUGCAUUUCAUAUGCUUUCUCUUCUGCUUUGGGCCUCUCCUCUAUUUUCCAUUUUGUUAGAUUUCAACUCCUCAUUAAUUUGAUCCAAUUCUACAACUAUUUUGUAAAGUAUAAGAUCCUGGGGGGAAUAUUAUGAGAAAGAAGACAUUAGCUUUGCCUUCUUAGAGGGCAAUCUCCUACAACUAACUGUUGAAUCACAGUAGGAUGCAUGCAUUUAGAACCAGAAAGUCUUAAGGUUCAAAUAUGGGUUCUGCAGCCUCCUAAGAGUGUGACCUUAGGCAAAUCAUUUGUUCAGUGGAGAGCUGGAUUUUGAGUUAGAAUACUGGGGUUCAAAUCCCACCCCUGUCAUUCACAACCUUCAUGGUGUUGAGCUAAUCACUGAAUUUCUCUGGGUGUGGGCCUUGAUUUCUUCAUCUCUGAAGGACAUUGUAUUAAUGUCUCAAACUAAAAUAGAAAUCGCACUACAAACCUGGAUACAAGGAUGCCUGCUCUCUGUAUAUGGAAUUAGAAACAUUGACUCAUAAUUUUAUGUCCUUUCCUAUUUCAUUCACUUAGUCAAAUAUUUCCCAAUUAUAUUUUAAUCUUGUUUGACCCAUGCUGAGGAGUGUGCCACAGGCUGUGUUUGACCCUUUUGUAAUAGAUGACUUUUAAUAUUACUUCAUACCCU